CGCCUACGGGAGGCAGCAGUGGGGAAUAUUGCACAAUGGGGGAAACCCUGAUGCAGCGACGCCGCGUGAGUGAUGAAGUAUUUCGGUAUGUAAAGCUCUAUCAGCAGGGAAGAUAAUGACGGUACCUGACUAAGAAGCUCCGGCUAAAUACGUGCCAGCAGCCGCGGUAAUACGUAUGGAGCAAGCGUUAUCCGGAUUUACUGGGUGUAAAGGGAGCGUAGACGGCAGCGCAAGUCCGAAGUGAAAGCCCGGGGCCCAACCCCGGGACUGCUUUGGAAACUGUGAAGCUGGAGUGCGGGAGGGGG
rnacentral:rRNA from 1 species